rnacentral:rRNA from 1 species
UCGGGAAUUUUGGGCAAUGGGCGAAAGCCUGACCCAGCAACGCCGCGUGAGGGAUGAAGUAUUUCGGUAUGUAAACCUCGAAAGAAUGGGAAGAAUAAAUGACGGUACCAUUUAUAAGCUCCGGCUAACUACGUGCCAGCAGCCGCGGUAAUACGUAGGGAGCAAGCGUUGUUCGGAUUUACUGGGCGUAAAGGGCGCGUAGGCGGCGCGGUAAGUCACUUGUGAAAUCUCUGAGCUUAACUCAGAACGGCCAAGUGAUACUGCUGUGCUAGAGUGCGGAAGAGNCAACCGGAAUUCUUGGUGUAGCGGUGAAAUGCGUAGAAAUCAAGAGGAACACCUGAGGCGAAGGCGGGUUGCUGGGCCGACACUGACGCUGAUGCGCGAAAGCCAGGGGAGCAAACG